GACAACCUGCUCUGGAUCAGCGAACUUCAGGCUUGAAAACAGCAUCCAGCACGUUGACUAGUUUCUUCUCUUCUUAUAUCCACUCGUUCUUCCUUGCUGCUCUGUGAUCUGUUUCUUUCUAAACUCAAAGAU